rnacentral:lncRNA from 1 species
UUGGAACUAGUUUAUGGUCGAUGAUAUUUGUUUUUGAAGUUAUAAACAUUUCUUUGCAUAACAUAAUGAAAGGUGGAGUGUGCAGUGGUAAGCUCAUAGCUUUAGUAUUUAUCACGUUAAAUGCAUUGUGAUCACGUGGACAUCGUAACCAACAUCACCGAGGAAAAUAAAUAAAUGACAACAUGAUGAGCCAUCGUGUUAAAAUAGAAGAUACUUUUAUGUCAGAAUAUUGAGUCAUAAUUAUUUGAUUAGCGCAUAAUUCUUUUUGUCUUCCGUUGCAACGCACGGAAGUGCUUCUGCCGUACGUCAUGAAAAUUGUCCCUGAGAUUCGUAUAAAUUACCCACCUAUGCCACCCGUAAGUUACAAUACCGUUUCGUUUUCUAAACUCCGAUUCAGCUCUUCCUUUUAAUUCAAGAGAUGGCGGUCUCCAAAGUCAUCGCUAUCGC